GGGAGGGGCACACAGUAAGAUUGUGUCAGACUUGCCCUGAUCUCUUGCAUGCACACAUACACACACACACACACACACACACACACACACACAGCACCCCUGGCACACACCAUCCCUGGUGCACACUUGCCGUGGCACCAAGCCCCACCCAGAGGAGUGUGGGCCUGUGGCUUGUCAGCCUGGCCUGUUUAAGCGGUGAGUGUGCACAGUGGAGAGGCCAGAGGCACAUUAAGGAUUAACUUCCUGACUGCAGCCAGCCUGGCUCAGCCUUCCUGUUAGAGCAUUCUGUGGGCAGCUUCCACCCAGAGCCACAGCUCUGCAAAACCGCAGCCCCUCCCAGGCCUGGGCCUCCACCCACCCAGGCCCCUGGACACCCAGGCAGGAGUCCUUCCUGCCCCUCCUGCCCAGGUCCCCAUAUGCAGAUGUCUGGGAGCCAGAGGGGAGGGGUCGCAGGAUGGGGGAAGUGUUCGAGCCUGAGCCUGUGGUUAACAAGGUCAAAGCCCUGAUUGGCUGGAUUACCCUUGCGGGGCAGACCACGCUAUUCAGUUAGUUGGUCCCCUACCCAAAUAUAGAGUUUGGGGGACUUCCAACCCCCACCAUGAGGAAGAUGGUGUUGUCAGCCCGGACUUAGGCUAGGUCAGGUGCAGCAGGGGCUAAAGAUGCCCAGGAGUCCAGGAGGGUAGGGUGAGAAGGUCAAAGGUGCCAUCACUGCAGUCACCUGGAAAGCCCUCACAGGCAGAGCUCUGUCCCCCGCCUCAGAGCAGGGACUCUGCCUACUGUGCGCUGCACCCCUCAAAAUGGGCCAGCGUCCUGGGAACUGUGUGGCAGCUCCUGUUCUUCCCCCUCCCACUGACAGAGGACCUUCCAGGCCACACUGUGGGCCCCAGAUUUGCCCACGUGGGUGCAGCCUGCCUCCAGGACCCCUCUGACUGGGGCCUGGGUGCUGCCCCCAUCACUCCCCACUCCACUCCAGCAAUGUCUGUCUCACAGGCCCCAGCAAGGCAGAAAGGCAGCCCUGAUGGGGUGGGUGGGUCGUCCGGGUUCGGAGGGGGGGCGGCCAUUAGGGAGCUGAGCUACUGCAGGACUGGGAGGAUGCUAAUCGAUGGGCUCAUGUUAUAUUUAUCAGCCACAGUACUUAGGCGCUGCCUCGAGCAGGACUAAUGGCCUCCCCAUUGGAGACGCCAUUACAGGAAGUGUGGGGGCAGGGGCGGGUGCUGAGACGAGACGGGAGCUGGCAAGGCCUCCUCCGGGCAGUAUCCGCCACCCCCAAGCCCCUGCCACCUGGCUGCUGUCCUGCGGGCUGCUGGGAUCAGACAUGGUUGGAACGAAAUCUUCCUAGAACUCUGAUCAGUGAAGUAGAGGAAGCUUCUUUAACUGAGAGAAGCUCCGUGAAGAUGGGGACCCCGUCCUUCACCUGGAGCCCGCCCUGCCUGGCUCAAGCAGGGCCUUGCAGGAUCAGGAGGGAGCAAAUGAGGGUGGGCUGAGGCUGGCCUGGGUGUGCAAGCUCUCUGGAUCAUCACACUGGCCCCCAACACACAUGCACGCGUGUGCACACACGCACGCACACAUGCGCGCACACACACACGCACAUGGCCUGACACAGAACCCUCGCCUGAGGCCCCCAUGUGGGGUGGGGGAGGAGGAUGGGCUGGGGGAGGGGGCUUCCCUCCAGAUGUUGUUGGAAAUCCAACACGUCCUCUCCACACACGCCCCCUCUCCCACUUCCUGCUCCAUUUCCCCUAAAUAUUUAUGAUUUUUAUUUACAUUCUUUGCCCGAGGUGCCCAGCCCCUGUCAGGUCCCAUUUGCCUACCCGGUUCCCUCCCUCCAGCUGCCUCCUCAGCCCGCACAUCUGGAGUCAGGAAUUGCGCGUGGUUGGCAGCAACCACCCCCCAGCCUGAGGGGUGUGUGGGGUGAUGAAGCCAGUGGGCUGUGGCUCUGGGCAGGGCUGGGCAGGGGCUAGGGAUGGGGGCAGCUCGCCAGCACAUUCCUGCCUGCCCGAUCUGGGAUCACUUUAGCCCCCUUUGUUUCCCAGGGACUUGUGGAAGCGCCUGAUGGAUGCCAGAUGCCAGGCACGCCUGGGAGGGAGGAGGGCCAGUGAGGCUGAUGUGACAGAGGGGAGACACUUCUCCUGGCAAGCGGGCUGGCUCCCUGGAGUGCCACCCACUUGGGGCCUCCUCCCUGCAGCCUACAAGGAUCCAGAGAAAGAUUUCCCUUUCCACGCCCCGUCUACCUUUCACCUACUCCCCCUCUUGGGCAACUCAGCUGGUCUUUAUCCAGCACUUCCAGCAGGCCAGGUACUGUCCCAGGUGCUGACGCUAAGUCUGCCAAUCCACAGCCCGUUCUUGCCCUGACCUCUCCUAGGAGCCAGUACACACAUGCUGGAGUAUGUUCAAGGAGAGGAAAAGGGAGGAAAGGAGCUAGGGAGG